UACGUAGGGACCAAGCGUUGUUCGGAUUUACUGGGCGUAAAGGGCGCGUAGGCGGCUUGACAAGUCACUUGUGAAAUCUCCGGGCUUAACUCGGAACGGCCAAGUGAAACUGUCAUGCUAGAGUGCAGAAGGGGCAAUCGGAAUUCUUGGUGUAGCGGUGAAAUGCGUAGAUAUCAAGAGGAACACCAGUGGCGAAGGCGGCUAACUGGUCCAGCACUGACGCUGAGGUGCGAAAGCGUGGGGAGCAAACAGG
rnacentral:rRNA from 1 species